GACGAACGCUGGCGGCGUGCUUAACACAUGCAAGUCGAACGGAAAGGCCCUGCUUUUGUGGGGUGCUCGAGUGGCGAACGGGUGAGUAACAAGUGAGUAACCUGCCCUUGACUUUGGGAUAACUUCAGGAAACAGGGGCUAAUAACGGAUAGGAGCUCCUGCUGCAUGGUGGGGGGUGGAAAGUUUCGGCGGCUGGGGAUGGUCUCGCGGCUUAUCAGGUUGUUGGUGGGGUAGUGGCUUACGAAGGCUUUGACGGGUAGCCGGCCUGGGAGGGUGACCGGCCACAUUGGGACUGGGAUACGGCCCAGACUCCUACGGGAGGCAGAAGUGAGGAAUAUUGCACAAUGGGCGGAGGCCUGAUGCAGCAACGCCGCGUGCGGGAUGACGGCCUUCGGGUUGUAAACCGCUUUCGCCUGUGACGAAGCGUGAGUGACGGUAAUGGGUAAAGAAGCACCGGCUAACUACGUG
rnacentral:rRNA from 1 species